rfam:Brachypodium distachyon strain Bd21 chromosome 5, whole genome shotgun sequence.
CUCAUACUCCCUCCGUCUAACAAAAGAUGUUUCAAGUUUGUCAAAAUUUGAUGUAUCUAAACAUGACUUAGUGUAUAGAUGCAUUCAAAUUUAGUCAAAAUUGAGACAUCCUUUGUUGGACGGAGGAAGUAUGAG